GACGAACGCUGGCGGCGUGCUUCAUACAUGCAAGUCGAACGAGAAUCUCUAGCUUGCUAGAGAGGAAAGUGGCGGACGGGUGAGUAAUAUAUAGGAAAUCUGCCCUUAGGUGGGGGACAACAGUUGGAAACGACUGCUAAUACCGCAUAUGAGCUACACUGAAAUGUGUAUCUUGAAAACUCUGGUGCCUAAGGAUGAGCCUGUAGCUGAUUAGCUAGUUGGUGGUGUAAUGGACUACCAAGGCGACGAUCAGUAGCUGGUUUGAGAGGAUGAUCAGCCACAAUGGGACUGAGACACGGCCCAU
rnacentral:rRNA from 1 species